GGUCAGUUGAAGAGGGUUGGGCCAUGGCAAUGAGGCUGCGUGUCACCCGGAGCAGUACAUGGUCACAUCUUUAGAUCCUGAAGCAAGAGCUGCAGCCCAUCUCAGGAGUCCAAAUGCAGCGACAGAUUUUGCCUCUAAGCAAUCUGCCCCUGAACUGCCCUCGCUGCUGCUUUGGUAAAGGCUUGCAACGAAAGAGUAACAGCCACUGGCGAAUCCAGUUUGUGCAAGCAGCAUCAGCAAUGGAUGAGACCUCCCCUAGACUGGAAGAAGACUGGAAAAAAGGACUUCAGCGAGAAGCGAGCUGGCAGGUAAGUGAUGUCCUCAGCUCCAGACAGCCACAGAUCACUCUCUCAUCUCUUUCAGCCCAAGUCUGGGUAAUUCACAUCAGUCUGUUGGCACAAAUGUGUUGUCUCUAGGCAUAUCUUUUUGGGAAAAUCAUCAUUAGUUUCCAUUUCUUUGUAAACCAUGCAAAUAAUAUUCCAAAUGAAUUUCCUCUAGAUUCUUGAGCAAGCUAAUAGAGUUUUACAAAUCUAUAGAUGUUGCUAAAUUUAUACUUUCUUAAUAAAGGCCCUUGAAUUAACAAGUUGCAG
rnacentral:lncRNA from 1 species